rfam:Schistosoma mansoni, Puerto Rico, WGS project CABG01000000 data, contig: 1682
AUUCAGUUGACGAGUCCCAAAUAGGAUGAAACGUGCGUCCUGGAU